rnacentral:tRNA from 1 species
GGUCGUAUGCCCGAGUGGUGAGGGAGCCGCCCGCAAAGCGGAACACGCCGGUUCGAUCCCGGCUACGACCUC